rnacentral:rRNA from 1 species
AGAGUUUGAUCCUGGCUCAGGAUAAACGCUGGCGGCGUGCCUAACACAUGCAAGUCGAACGUCCUUUUGUCCUUCGGGACAAGAGGGAGUGGCGGACGGGUGAGUAACACAUGGGUGACCUGGCCCGAAGUGAGGGAUACCGGCGCGAAAGUGCCGACAAGCCCGCAUAGGCUCUCUGUGGUAGAGGGCAGAGAGCAAAG